UGGAUGUAUGUGGAUUUUGCAGUCAAGUUUUGUUCCAGGUUCUAUCUUUGCCAUUCACUUUGGCGCAUUAAUUACCAUUUAUGCCAUUAUUGAUUGGUUACAUCCGUGAAAGGAAAAUAUGGAGGCGAGGGGAAGUUUGUGCGCAAAGAAGAUGUGGCAACCGCAGCGCUUACGAUCGAUGAUUAUUGAGGCGUGACGAUAUCGAAGUAUAUUCAGCAGCAGCAUAUAGUAUAAACGCUAAAAAUUGCUAUCGUGGGACUAUGUAUUAUCGAAAAACCGAGAUUCACUAAGGCACCUGGACGAUAAAACCGUUAGAAAUACAUUUUUUCUAUAAUAACAAAUGCUUGCAAGUUUUCGUUGUCUUUUCGUGUCACACUACACUAUAGUUUCGCUUUCUUGUACAUGAAGAAAGUUCCUGAUUUAUCCAGUGGCCUCUUGAGAAUAAGGCGGCAACUAAAAUGCUAAAUACCGGCACAC
rnacentral:lncRNA from 1 species